ACGAACGCUGGCGGCGUGCUUAACCCAUGCAAGUCGAACGGAAAGGCCCCUUUGGGGGUACUCGAGUGGCGACCGGGUGAGUAACACGUGAGUAACCUGCCCUUGACUUCGGGAUAACUUCAGGAAACUGGGGCUAAUACCGGAUAGGAAUCCUUGCUGCAUGGUGGGGGUUGGAAAGCUUCGGCGGUUUUGGAUGGACUCGCGGCUUAUCAGCUUGUUGGUGGGGUAGUGGCUUACCAAGGCUUUGACGGGUAGCCGGCCUGAGAGGGCGACCGGCCACAUUGGGACUGAGAUACGGCCCAGACUCCUACGGGAGGCAGCAGUGGGGAAUAUUGCACAAUGGGAGGAAGCCUGAUGCAGCAACGCCGCGUGCGGGAUGACGGCCUUAGGGUUGUAAACCGCUUUCAGCAGGGGCGAAGCUUGUGGUGACGGUACCUGCAGAAGAAGCACCGGCUAACUACGUG
rnacentral:rRNA from 1 species